AGAUGUGGAUGAAUGUGCCCGAGGAUUGGACAACUGUGGUAGUAAUUCGCAAUGUAUUAACACUGAUGGGAGUUUUGUGUGCAGAUGUAACUAUGGUUAUACCGGAAAUGGCGUAUAUUGUUAUGGUGAGUACUGUUAGACUGUAAUUCGUUUAUACAAGUUUUCCUUUUUUUAUUUUCUAUAUUUUCAAAGUAACGGUUUGAUCUAAUUGAUGAGUUUUCCUAUUUUUAAACUGUUGGGGAAAAUUGUGAUAAGACCUGCCAGUCGCUUACUACUAUACUGAAAAAGUCAUUCGUGUUUUUUUUUAUCCUUAGACAUCAAUGAAUGUUCCCUGUCGAUUGACAAUUGUCAUUCCAACGCUUCUUGCGCCAACACUGGUGGAUCAUUUUUCUGCACGUGUGAGAGUGGAUAUACUGGAAAUGGAAGUUUUUGCCAAG